rnacentral:rRNA from 1 species
UACGUAGGGGGCAAGCGUUGUCCGGAAUCAUUGGGCGUAAAGAGCGUGUAGGCGGCCCGGUAAGUCCGCUGUGAAAGUCCAGGGCUCAACCCUGGGGAUGCCGGUGGAUACUGUCGGGCUCGAGUCCGGAAGAGGAGUGUGGAAUUCCUGGUGUAGCGGCGAAAUGCGCAGAUAUCAGGAGGAACACCAAUGGCGAAGGCAGCACUCUGGGGACGUGACUGACGCUGAGACGCGAAAGCGUGGGGAGCAACAGG